rnacentral:rRNA from 1 species
GAUGAACGCUGGCGGCGUGCCUAACACAUGCAAGUCGAGCGUGAUUUAUGAGGACGAAACUUCGGUCUAGGAAUCAUAAUGAAAGCGGCGGACGGGUGAGUAACGCGUAGGCAACCUGCCCUUAACACAGGGAUAGCCUCGGGAAACCGGGAUUAAAACCUGAUGAUGCCAAAGAGUCACAUGGCUCGUUGGCCAAAGAUUUAUCGGUUAAGGAUGGGCCUGCGUCUGAUUAGUUUGUUGGUGGGGUAACGGCCUACCCAGACUACGAUCAGUAGCCGACCUGAGAGGGUGAUCGGCCAUAUUGGAACUGAGACACGGUCCAAACUCCUACGGGAGGCAGCAGUGGGGAAUAUUGCACAAUGGGCGAAAGCCUGAUGCAGCAACGCCGCGUGAGCGAUGAAGGCCUUUGGGUCGUAAAGCUCUGUCCUUGGGGAAGAAACAAAUGACGGUACCCAAGGAGGAAGCCCCGGCUAACUACGUGCCAGCAGCCGCCGUAAAAC